CAGCGGGCUGCUUGUGUUUCUGUUCCUCACAGGACAUCAUAUGACCCGCAGAUCCCGUGUGAACGCUCUACGUUAGUCAGUGGACGUCCGACAAGAAGCCCAAUCAUUUAUAAUACAUACAGCUAGAGGCUAUACUUUGGUUUAAAUUGCGUGAAUAAAAUAGCUAGAGAGCUAAAGUACAUUUCGUUCAUCCAAAGGCACACUGAUGACCUUGUGCUUUUAAGGCUUAUGUAACAAACUGUAUAUAAAGGAUUUUGUAGUAUCAAUCGGCGAGAUGAGACUAGCAGCGCGUGCAGAAGCUCUUCAUGCCGAGCACAUGGCAACUGUAAUGGCGGGAGACCUGCAGCCAUGAGCACAUGGUUUCUCAAGAUGUUGGAGACUCUCUCUUAGCUCGUCCACACACUGAUGGAAGGAGUUGCUGGGACAUAUCCACAUCUCAACCACAAACCUGGAUGCUGACUCCAAGGCUGGAGUUAUAAUGAGGAUCUACAAUGAGUCCCAGCGUGUAGUUCACUACGCAGAACACCAAGUGCCCAAGGAACUCGAGGAGAACCAAGUUAAAAGAUGGUUGAACAAAGCAUACUCAGGACACCAAAGGCACGAGGGUGCUGUGGAGGACCAGGACCCGCCUAUAUAAACUACGGCCGGACAUUUUUCAGUCUCUCUGGCUGCUCUCUGUUGGAUGUGAACGUCCAGCUAACCGGAUUUUUGCUCAGAACUGAGGAAACAAGGAUCUACAAUGAGUCCCAGCGCGGAGUUCACUACGCAGAACACCAAGUGCCCAAGGAACUCGAGGAGAUCCACGUUAAAAGAUGGUUGAAUAAAGAUCACACUGCCUAAAGGUGGAUGCUCUGAAAGAUCAUUUGACCCCCUACCUGAGUCCUACCUGAGGGGGGGGGGAGUCUGCAGCCAGGAGCACAUGGUUUCUCAAGAUGUUGGAGACUCUCUCUUAGCUCGUCCACACACUGAUGGAAGGAGUUGCUGGGACAUAUCCACAUCUCAACCACAAACCUGGAUGCUGACUCCAAGGCUGGAGUUGUAAUGAGGGUGUGACUGAAGGACCUGGAUCUGGAGGACGUGCAGACUCAUGAAAAGCCGGGUGGAACAGUUCUACUGGGCUCUGCAGGGGCAUGGAGUCACUUGGGAGUGAAACUCGGACUCUCCUGUCCUCCGUCUUGUUGUACAAGGGUGAGGGCCACUUUAAAAAAAUAAAACAAGUCGGGGGCUACUUUUACCCCUUUUUUUUGUUUUUGUUUUUUGCAGUGUAUAUAUUUAGCACAUUUU